rnacentral:rRNA from 1 species
AGUGGGGGAUAACGUAGCGAAAGUUACGCUAAUACCGCAUAUGCCCUGAGGGGGAAAGGUGGGGAUCGCAAGACCUAUCGCUUUCGGAGUGGCCGAUAUCAGAUUAGCUAGUUGGUGGGGUAAAGGCCUACCAAGGCGACGAUCUGUAGCUGGUCUGAGAGGACGACCAGCCACACUGGGACUGAGACACGGCCCAGACUCCUACGGGAGGCAGCAGUGGGGAAUUUUGGACAAUGGGCGCAAGCCUGAUCCAGCCAUGCCGCGUGAGUGAAGAAGGCCUUCGGGUUGUAAAGCUCUUUCAGCCGGAAAGAAAUCGUGCAGGCUAAUAUCCUGCGUGGAUGACGGUACCGGAAGAAGAAGCACCGGCUAACUACGUGCCAGCAGCCGCGGUAAUACGUAGGGUGCGAGCGUUAAUCGGAAUUACUGGGCGUAAAGCGUGCGCAGGCGGUUUUGUAAGACAGACGUGAAAUCCCCGGGCUUAACCUGGGAACUGCGUUUGUGACUGCAAGGCUAGAGUGCGGCAGAGGGGGGUAGAAUUCCA